AGAGCGGACAACUGCAAAUCGAGACACUGAAAUAGAGGAAUAAAGGCAAUCAUAGGGGAGAGGAAGCGUGUUUAAUCAGAUGAGGAUGAAUAAAUGUCAGUGACAACACCACCAAGGCAUUCGAAGGUGACAGUGGCUAUGGCAGGACUGUUCUGCAGGCAUCACAACAGUUACUAUAAGAUCCCCAAACAGUUGCACCAUCUGUACAGAGGGUGUCGUGAAAUUCCGUCGUUUCUCACAACAGAGGUGCGAGCGAAAAAUGCCGCCUGGAUGAAGACAGCAUCGGAC